rnacentral:rRNA from 1 species
AUUGAACGCUGGCGGCAUGCCUUACACAUGCAAGUCGAACGGUAACGGGCCUUCGGGUGCCGACGAGUGGCGAACGGGUGAGUAAUACAUCGGAACGUGGCCGAUCGUGGGGGGUAACGAGGCGAAAGCUUUGCUAAUACCGCAAACGAUCUACGGGUGAAAGCAGGGGACCGCAAGGCCUUGCGCGGGCGGAGCGGCCGAUGGCGGAUUAGGUAGUUGGUGGGAUAAAAGCUUACCAAGCCGACGAUCUGUAGCUGGUCUGAGAGGAUGAUCAGCCACACUGGGACUGAGACACGGCCCAGACUCCUACGGGAGGCAGCAGUGGGGAAUUUUGGACAAUGGGCGCAAGCCUGAUCCAGCCAUGCCGCGUGCAGGAUGAAGGCCUUCGGGUUGUAAACUGCUUUUGUACGGAACGAAAAGCCUUCUUUUAAUACAGGAGGGUCAUGACGGUACCGUAAGAAUAAGCACCGGCUAACUACGUG